rnacentral:rRNA from 1 species
AGUGAACGCUGGCGGUAGGCCUAACACAUGCAAGUCGAACGGCAGCACAGUAAGAGCUUGCUCUUACGGGUGGCGAGUGGCGGACGGGUGAGGAAUACAUCGGAAUCUACUUUUUCGUGGGGGAUAACGUAGGGAAACUUACGCUAAUACCGCAUACGACCUACGGGUGAAAGCAGGGGAUCUUCGGACCUUGCGCGAUUGAAUGAGCCGAUGUCGGAUUAGCUAGUUGGCGGGGUAAAGGCCCACCAAGGCGACGAUCCGUAGCUGGUCUGAGAGGAUGAUCAGCCACAUUGGAACUGAGACGCGGUCCAGACUCCUACGGGAGGCAGCAGUGGGGAAUAUUGGACAAUGGGCGCAAGCCUGAUCCAGCCAUACCGCGUGGGUGAAGAAGGCCUUCGGGUUGUAAAGCCCUUUUGUUGGGAAAGAAAAGCAGCAGGUUAAUACCCCGCUGUUCUGACGGUACCCAAAGAAUAAGCACCGGCUAACUUCGUG